rnacentral:piRNA from 1 species
UUGUUUUGCCUUUAACCUCCU